rnacentral:rRNA from 1 species
GUGGGGAAUCUUAGACAAUGGGCGCAAGCCUGAUCUAGCCAUGCCGCGUGAGCGAUGAAGGCCUUAGGGUUGUAAAGCUCUUUCGUGGGGGAAGAUAAUGACUGUACCCCAAGAAGAAGCCCCGGCUAACUCCGUGCCAGCAGCCGCGGUAAUACGGAGGGGGCUAGCGUUGUUCGGAAUUACUGGGCGUAAAGCGCACGUAGGCGGACCAGAAAGUCAGAGGUGAAAGCCCGGGGCUCAACCCCGGAACUGCCUUUGAAACUCCUGGUCUUGAGGUCGAGAGAGGUGGGUGGAAUUCCGAGUGUAGAGGUGAAAUUCGUAGAUAUUCGGAAGAACACCAGUGGCGAAGGCGACACACUGGCUCAUUACUGACGCUGAGGCGCGAAAGCGUGGGGAGCAAACAGGAUUAGAUACCCGAGUAGUCC